rnacentral:rRNA from 1 species
GAUGAACGCUGGCGGCGUGCCUAAUACAUGCAAGUCGAGCGAACGGACGAGAAGCUUGCUUCUCUGAUGUUAGCGGCGGACGGGUGAGUAACACGUGGAUAACCUACCUAUAAGACUGGGAUAACUUCGGGAAACCGUAGCUAAUACCGGAUAAUAUUUUGAACCGCAUGGUUCAAAAGUGAAAGACGGUCUUGCUGUCACUUAUAGAUGGAUCCGCGCUGCAUUAGCUAGUUGGUAAGGUAACGGCUUACCAAGGCAACGAUGCAUAGCCGGCCUGAGAGGGUGAUCGGCCACACUGGAACUGAGACACGGUCCAGACUCCUACGGGAGGCAGCAGUAGGGAAUCUUCCGCAAUGGGCGAAAGCCUGACGGAGCAACGCCGCGUGAGUGAUGAAGGUCUUCGGAUCGUAAAACUCUGUUAUUAGGGAAGAACAUAUGUGUAAGUAACUGUGCACAUCUUGACGGUAACUAAUCAGAAAGCCACGGCUAACUACGUG